UAGGGAAUCUUCGGCAAUGGACGAAAGUCUGACCGAGCAACGCCGCGUGAGUGAAGAAGGUUUUCGGAUCGUAAAACUCUGUUGUUAGAGAAGAACAAGGACGUUAGUAACUGAACGUCCCCUGACGGUAUCUAACCAGAAAGCCACGGCUAACUACGUGCCAGCAGCCGCGGUAAUACGUAGGUGGCAAGCGUUGUCCGGAUUUAUUGGGCGUAAAGCGAGCGCAGGCGGUUUCUUAAGUCUGAUGUGAAAGCCCCCGGCUCAACCGGGGAGGGUCAUUGGAAACUGGGAGACUUGAGUGCAGAAGAGGAGAGUGGAAUUCCAUGUGUAGCGGUGAAAUGCGUAGUUAUACGGAGGAACACCAGUGGCGAAGGCGGCUCUCUGGUCUGUAACUGACGCUGAGGCUCGAAAGCGUGGGGAGCAAACAGG
rnacentral:rRNA from 1 species